AGUGAACGCUGGCGGUAGGCCUAACACAUGCAAGUCGAACGGCAGCACAGUAAGAGCUUGCUCUUACGGGUGGCGAGUGGCGGACGGGUGAGGAAUACAUCGGAAUCUACUUUUUCGUGGGGGAUAACGUAGGGAAACUUACGCUAAUACCGCAUACGACCUACGGGUGAAAGCAGGGGAUCUUCGGACCUUGCGCGAUUGAAUGAGCCGAUGUCGGAUUAGCUAGUUGGCGGGGUAAAGGCCCACCAAGGCGACGAUCCGUAGCUGGUCUGAGAGGAUGACCAGCCACACUGGAACUGAGACACGGUCCAGACUCCUACGGGAGGCAGCAGUGGGGAAUAUUGGACAAUGGGCGCAAGCCUGAUCCAGCCAUACCGCGUGGGUGAAGAAGGCCUUCGGGUUGUAAAGCCCUUUUGUUGGGGAAGAAAAGCAGCAGGUUAAUACCCCGCUGUUCUGACGUUACCCAAAGAAUAAGCACCGGCUAACUUCGUG
rnacentral:rRNA from 1 species